CCUUGGCGAGAGCUCAGAGCUGAAGCGCAAAGCGGUCCACGGUCCACCACCGUCGAUUCCGUCUUCUCCGUGAGUUCCGACGCCACCACCGGCCCACCGGCCACCGGCUACCGCAAGUUCCGUCUCCUCCGUGAGUUCCGAAGCCACCACCAGCGCAGCAGGUUUUACUUCCGAAGCCACCACCGACGCCACCACCGGACGACUCCACUGCCGUGUUGGGACGACUCCACUGCCAGACUACAACGAAACACUCAUCUAGAGUGCAACUACAACGGAACACUCAUCCAGAGCGCAGCUACAACGGAACACUCAUCCAGAGCUCAGCUACAACAUGACACUCCUCAUCCGAAGCCUUAACAAAUGAAGCCGGACACAAAAACGUGCCUUCAAUGUAUCCAUUGAGAUUUGGACCAUGGAGAAAGGGAACAAGUUGAAUCUUCCAUAAUAGAUAGUUUGAGGAAGUAAGUUUAAUGCAGAUAAAAUGAUGGGCUGUUUGAAGAAUAUUUAUUGGGAUUGUGGUUGGAUAGGCAAUAUUGAAGAUGUUACGAGAAGAUGAGGUGGUGUUGCCCGCCGGUGGCGGCAAUGGAUAUGAUUAUUUAUUUAUUUAUUUUAUUUUUUUGUGAAGGGUUUCUAGCCUAUAUCAUUUGACCUUUUGAUACCAUAUGAAAAUAGUUAUGGGAAUAAUCUUAUUAUUGAUCAAUCAAUGAUGAUAUAAAGUACAUGAUGAAGAGAUGUGUUUAUAAGGAUAAAAAGAGGUCCCAAUCAAAAUAGGAAUGGUAAAUAAUAAUAUUCCUAAUAAUAUAGGGAGAGAGAAAAUGAAUUUUAGUGUGUCUAAAAUAAGAGUGCUUAUAAGAGUCCUAAGCACUCUUGUUGGUUUAGUUUUCUUUGUUGGGUGGUUCCUUGAGAUAUUCUCUAUGUAUGUACAACAAUAUUUUCCUUUAAACCUAGUUGCCUUUGAGGCUCAUCACCUUUGGGUGCCAUUAUCUUAGGAGUGCUUCGAUGAUCUUCCAUUAAUCACCUAUUUAUUGUACUAUUUGUGAAAUGAGUUUUCAUUUGUUUAAUGGAUU